rnacentral:rRNA from 1 species
CCUACGGGAGGCAGCAGUGGGGAAUAUUGCACAAUGGGGGACACCCUGAUGCAGCCAUGCCGCGUGAAGGACGAAGUAUUUCGGUACUUAAACCUUUAUCAGCAGGGAAGAAAAUGACGGUACCUGACCCAUUAGCCACGGCUAACUACGUGCCAGCAGCCGCGGUCAUACGCAGGGUGCAACGGUUAUCCGGAUUUUCAGGGUGUAACGGGAGCGUAGACGGCUAUUAAAGUCUGAUGUGAAAACCUGGGGCUCAACCCCGGGAUUGCAUUGGAAACUGUGCGGCUGGAGUGUCGGAGAGGUAAGUGGAAUUCCUGGUGUAGCGGUGAAAUGCGUAGAUAUUAGGAGGAACACCAGUGGCGAAGGCGGCUUGCUGGACGAAGACUGACGUUGAGGCUCGAAAGCGUGGGGAGCAAACAGGAUUAGAUACCCCUGUAGUC